AUCGGCGGCGCGGUUUGGCACCUCGAUGUCGGCCCAUCGCAUCCUGGGGCUGGAGCAGGUCCCAAGGGUUCGGCUGUUCGCCGAUUAAAGCGGUACGCGAGCUGGGUUUAAAACGUCGUGAGACAGUUUGGUCCCUAUCUUCCGUGGGCGUAGGACACUUGAGAGGAGCUGCCCAUAGUACGAGAGGACCUGGGUGGACGUACCUCUGGUGUUCCGGUUGUCACGCCAGUGGCAUAGCCGGGUAGCCAUGUACGGAACGGAUAACCGCUGAAAGCAUAUAAGCGGGAAGCCGGCCUCAAGACUAGGUGUCCCUGCCGCAAGGCACUAAAGGCCCCUCGUAGACUACGAGGUUGAUAGGCCGGGUGUGGAAGCGCUGCAAAGCGCGGAGCUAACCGGUCCUAAUAGGCCGUGCGGCUUGAUCAU
rnacentral:rRNA from 1 species